rnacentral:rRNA from 1 species
UACGGGGGGAGCAAGCGUUGUUCGGAUUUAUUGGGCGUAAAGGGCUCGUAGGCGGUCUGUUGCGUCGGGAGUGAAAACUUACAGCUUAACUGUGAGCGUGCUUUCGAUACGGGCAGACUUGAGGCAUUCAGGGGAGAACGGAAUUCCUGGUGUAGCGGUGAAAUUCGUAGAUAUCAGGAGGAACACCAGUGGCGAAGGCGGCUUCCUGGACACCAACUGACGCUGAGACGCGAAAGCGUGGGGAGCAAACAGG